rnacentral:miRNA from 1 species
UUAAAGCUCAGGAACACGUCAU